rnacentral:rRNA from 1 species
CAUGGAGGGUGAGAAUCCCGUCCGGUUGAUCAUUGUGCUCUACGAUACGCUUUCAAAGAGUCAAGUUGUUUGGGAUUGCAGCUUAAAAUGGGAGGUAAAUUUCUCCUAAGGCUAAAUAACGGCGAGUGACCGAUAGCGAACAAGUACCGUGAGGGAAAGAUGAAAAGAACUUUGAAAAGAGAGUUAAACAGUACGUGAAAUUGUUGAAAGGGAAACGAUUGAAGCCAGUCGUACCUUCGGGUAAUCAGCCUUUCGGGUGCGAUUCUGUGGGAUGUGAGGAGUUAAACGCAUUCAUGUUUUGCAUAUUCGUGCUCUUGGGUGUACUUGCCCGUGUGGUUGGUUAACAUCAAUUUUGGACGCCAUAAAAUGACUGGAGGAAUGUAGCUUCGAUCUCGUAUUGAAGUGUUAUAGCCUUCGGUAGAUGUGACGAUCGGGAUUGAGGAUUGCAACGGAUACCCUUCGGGGCUACCUGUCUGAUCUCUGAGAGUUGCCCUGGUGUUGAAAGCUUGCUUAUGGUAUCAAAGUUGACGUUCAAUAGGUUAGAACGGGAUAAGUUCGUUAAGGAUGUUGACGUAAUGG